rnacentral:rRNA from 1 species
AACGAACGCUGGCGGCGCGUUUUAAGCAUGCAAGUCGGACGGCAAGGAGAGUAGCAAUACUUUCCCUAGAGUGGCGAACGGGUGAGUAAGACGUAGGUGAUCUACCCCUGGAUGGGGGAUAGUCCGUGGAAACACGGGGUAAUACCGCAUGAGGCCUUGGGGGUAAAGCCCUGAGGUGAAAGCUCCAACUGGAGCGUCUGGGGAUGAGCCUGCGGCCCAUUAGGCAGUUGGCGGGGUAACGGCCCACCAAACCGACGAUGGGUAGCCGGCCUGAGAGGGUGUACGGCCACACUGGAACUGAGACACGGUCCAGACUCCUACGGGAGGCAGCAGCUAAGAAUCUUCCGCAAUGGGGGAAACCCCUGACGGAGCGACGCCGCGUGGACGAUGAAGGCCGUAAGGUUGUAAAGUCCUUUUGCAGGUGAAGAAUAAGCCGGGGAAGUGGAAUGCCCUGGUGAUGACGUUAGCCUGCGAAUAAGCCCCGGCCAAUUACGUGCCAGCAGCCGGGUAACAUACUCGUA